CCGCCGUGAAGGAGAGAACUCGCCCGGAAGCUCCGGCUGCGUGGUGGAGUCCCGACGCCGGAACUCGCUCUUCCGGCCACCAUUUCUGAUGAUUUCAGUUCCAUUUGGAAGUGCUCUCCGUGUGUAGCAUUUCCCUAGAAGGUAAUGAUCAAUUCGAAGUGUGUAGGAGGAUUUUCGGGCUAGGGUUUGAAUUGGGUGAUUUUUGGAUGUUUUGAUUCGAUUACCCUAUUUAGGCUUGAAAUUGGACUUAGUGAUAGUUAUGAAAGUUGUUUGGGAUGUUGAGAUGAAACUGCUGUUAAAAUUUGGUAGGCAUUAGAGGUCGCCGGAAUAGGCCUCUUUUGAAAAUUUUAGUUGACCGCCAAAAAAUUUUGGUUGAAAAUUUUGAAAAUUUUUCGACUUUAGCCGACGACUUUUCAUAUAUUUUCGUCGGCUAAAGUCCUUUGAAAAUUUUCCUCCAACUUUGGUUUACCGCCUAAAAAAUUUUGAAAUUUUUUGACCUUAGCCGAUGACUUUUCAUAUAUUUUCGUCGGCUAAAGUCUAUAAAUUCACGAAAACGCUCAUAUCUCCCCCUAUAUUACGUAAUUUGGUCAAACCUUCCACACCAAAAACUCUCACGUAGAUGAGACGCAACUGCCCAUAUAAAAAUUUUGAGACAUUUACCUUCCGACGAUAGGGCUCCCCAUAAGGAAUAAUAACGGUAAAUAGGGUUGACCGCUACUAUCGGCUCCGAGACUUUACCCGAUUUACGUGAUUUUUGAACCAUAGACGUAUUUCACCAUUUUGAACACAUCUUAUUUCACCAGAUUUUUCAUAAUUUUGCUUCCUAUGUAGAGUUGGUUCACAAAGUUGUAUAACCUACUAAACAAGUUAUACAACAUUAGUAGACACGUUGUGAUUCCGAUGACUAAAAUUCACAAACCAAAAUUCGACCGUCAGAUAUGAUCAUUAUGACGAAAUAUGUCUAUGGUAAAAAAUUCAACUGGAUCCGACAACGUUAAGGGCUCAAUCGAAACGGUAAACCAUAAUCCAUCGUCACUUAUCACACGAAAACGCUCAUAUCUCCCUCUAUAUUACGUAGUUUGGUCAAACCUUCCACACAAAAAACCUCUCACGUAGAUGAGACGAAACUGCCCAUAAUAAAAAUUUUGAGACAUUUACCUUCCGACGAUAGGGCUCCCCAUAAACCCGAAUAACGGUAAAUAGUAGACACGUUGUGAUUCCGAUGACUAAAAUUCACAAACCAAAAUUCGACCGUCAGAUAUGAUCAUUAUGACGAAAGAUGUCUAUGGUAAAAAAUUCAACUGGAUUCGACAACGUUAAGGGCUCGAUCGAAACUGUCAACUCUAAUCGAAAAUAAGAAAACUGCAUUUUCAAGCCCUAAACGGACUCGGAUGGCCAAAAAAGCCUAUACAUCAUGGCAUUAGCGAUGAGUCUGACUCGUAGCGCCGUUACGCUUCCGGAAAGGUAUCACAAUAGUCAAUCAGACACCAAACACCAAAUCUGCAGCAUAGUGAAUAGUAAGGGUAAGUCAACUAUCGGCACCGAGACUUUACCGGAAUACUGUGUAUUUUUCAACCGUAGUCGUAUUUCACCGUUCUGGUCAUAUCUUAUUUCACGACUUUUUUGCGUUUGAAGGUUCUACGUAUAGUUUUUUUUUCUCAGAUGAGUUGUUGUCUAGAUCUGCAAAUAUAAGGCACUUUAGCCGACGAAAUUAUAUUUUUUCGUCGGCUAAAGUUUAAAAAUUUCGUCGGCUAAAGUUUAAAAAUUUCGUCGGCUAAAGUCCACUUUAGCCGACUAAUUUUUUUCGUCGGUUAAACUUUUAAAAAUUUCGUCGGCUAAAGUUCACAGACUAUAGCCGACGAAAAAAAUCAUUCAGCCGAUGAAAUAUUACUUUCGUCGGCUAAAGUUGACCAUAGCCGACGAAAAUAAAAUUCGUNNNNNNNNNNNNNNNNNNNNGCUCAUAUCUCCCUCUAUAUUACGUAGUUUGGUCAAACCUUCCACACAAAAAACUCUCACGUAGAUGAGACGAAACUGCCCAUAUAAAAAUUUUGAGACAUUUACCUUCCGACGAUAGGGCUCCCCAUAAACCCGAAUAACGGUAAAUAGUAGACACGUUGUGAUUCCGAUGACUAAAAUUCACAAACCAAAAUUCGACCGUCAGAUAUGAUCAUUAUGACGAAAGAUGUCUAUGGUAAAAAAUUCAACUGGAUUCGACAACGUUAAGGGCUCGAUCGAAACGGUCAACUCUAAUCGAAAAUAAGAAAACUGCAUUUUCAAGCCCUAAACGGACUCGGAUGGCCAAAAAAGCCUAUACAUCAUGGCGUUAGCGAUGAGUCUAACUCGUAGCGCCGUUACGCCAAAUCUGCAGCAUAGUGAAUAGUAAGGGUAAGUCAACUAUCGGCACCGAGACUUUACCGGAAUACUGUGAUUUUUCAACCGUAGUCGUAUUUCACCGUUCUGGUCAUAUCUUAUUUCACGACUUUUUUGCGUUUGAAGGUUCUACGUAUAGUUUUUUUUUCUCAGAUGAGUUGUUGUCUAGAUCUGCAAAUAUAAGGCACUUUAGCCGACGAAAUUAUAUUUUU
rnacentral:lncRNA from 1 species